ensembl:lncRNA
AGAAGGAUGAGCAGCAGGAAAUGACAAGAGGAGGAUUCUGGGGAACGGAUCCGACAGACCUGCACCAACUCCCAGAAACUGCUGGCAAACAGCUUGGGAGGAAUGAUUUAGUGGUCAUGUAUGGAAGUGAGAGUUUGGACUGUGAAGAAAGCUGAGUGCUGAAGAAUUGAUGCUUUUGAACUGUGGUGUUGGAGAAGACUCUUGAGAGUCCCUUGGACUGCAAGGAGAUCAACCCUGGGUGUUCUUUGUAAGGAAUGAUGCUAAAGCUGAAACUCCAGUACUUUGGCCACCUCAUGCAAAGAGUUGACUCAUUGGAAAAGACUCUGAUUCUUGGAGGGAUUGGGGGCAGGAGGAGAAGGGGAUGACAGAGGAUGAGAUGGCUGGAUGGCAUCACUGACUCAAUGGACGUGAGUUUGAGUGAACUCCGGGAGAUGGAGAUGGACAGGGCCUGGCGUGCUGUGAUUCAUGGGGUUGCAAGGAGUCGGACACAACUGAGUGACUGGACUGAACUGAACUGACAUAUAGCUGAUUCACUUCCUUGCACAGCAGAAACUAACACAACAUUAUAAAGCAAUUAUACUCCCCAAAAAAUAAUUUUUAAAAAACAGUCAAAACAAACAAACCUCACUUGAUUUCGUCUCCCAUAAGAGCUAUCCUCUCCUGUUUCUGUUCAGAACCAAUGUUGUUCCGAACUGUCUCUCAUAGUUUCCAUUUCUUCACCUCUCCUUCAUUUAAAAAUUAUUUUCACAUUUUAAAAAUUAAAAUUAUACACACACACAGCUUUUAAAAUUCGACUAUUACUACAGAAUAUAUUGAAAAUAGUCUUCUGCCCUACUCUCUAUGCCCAAGUUGGUCAGUCUAUCUACUGAUCAGCGACAAAUACUUUCAAUUCUCUCCAGCUUUUUCUUUGGAUAGUCACAUUUCUAAAUGAUGUUCUUGAACUUUGUAUAACUGGAUGUACAAUGUAAUAUUCUACACAUCAGAUUUUUUGCUCAAUGUUACGUGGGUGAGAAAGACCCAUAUAAUCCAGUCACUUCCAUUACAUGUCUUGCUGUGUUACAUUCUGUUCAACAAAGAUAGCAAUUCUUUUGAGGGUGGUCAUCUGAGCUGUUUAUAAAUGACAUUACUAUGAACGUUCUUAUACAUAUCUCUGGGCACAUGUGUAAGACUUUUUCUGCAUUUCUAGAUGUGGGAUAGGACCAAUGCAUCUUGGAUUUUUAAAUUCUUUAUGAAACAGAAGC